UACGGAGGAUGCAAGCGUUAUCCGGAAUGAUUGGGCGUAAAGCGUCCGCAGGUGGCUGUGUAAGUCUGCUGUCAAAGAGCAAAGCUCAACUUUGUAAAGGCAGUGGAAACUACACGGCUAGAGUGCGUUCGGGGCAGAGGGUAUUCCUGGUGUAGCGGUGAAAUGCGUAGAGAUCAGGAAGAACACCGGUGGCGAAGGCGCUCUGCUAGGCCGCAACUGACACUGAGGGACGAAAGCUAGGGGAGCGAAUGGG
rnacentral:rRNA from 1 species